rnacentral:rRNA from 1 species
UUGGACCUUAAAGCUAGAUUUCACCAAAUAAGAUUAGCUCCAGGGGAAGAGUACAAAACUGCUUUUCAGACUCACCAUGGCCACUUUGAAUUUCUUGUGGUUGCUAUGGGAUUGACAGGGGCUCCAGCAACCUUCCAAGGGACAAUGAACUUUGAUCUCUCUCCUCUUCUCAAGAAAUGUGUGUUAUGUUUCUUUGAUGACAUAUUAGUUUUCAGUAAAACAUUCAGAGAACAUUUGGAGAAUGUUGCCCAAGUUCUGGCAAUUCUGAAAGAAAAAGAGUGGAAAGUUAAAAUGUCCAAAUGUGCUUUUGCUCAACAG